ACGGAAGCCUGGUGAGGCCAAGAUGUCACCGGAAGAGAAGGCGACACCUCCCGAAUCAGGCAACCCAGCACGGAACCCUGGCACCCACGCGGAGCACAUGCCGCGGAAUAGGCAAAAGUGUUGCGGGCCUGCGUAAUUGCGAAGAGCGGACGAUCACGACGACUCUUUGGGUGGAGUAGUCCGUCGAAGCGCAUCGCACUGACGCCGAGGCCAACCCACGCAACCCCCACAGCACGCUUGGUAACCGGGGUCCGUGCUAGCGGGCGGCGAGCCGAACUCGGAUCGGAUCGUCGCCCGCUUCGCGUU
rfam:Mycobacterium sp. KMS, complete genome.